UGAGGAGGCGCAGCGGAAGCGUCGUGGGCCCAUAACCCACAGGUCCUAGGAUCGAAACCUGGCUCAG
rnacentral:tRNA from 15 species